CUUCAUAGCCUGGGCUAAACAUCCCUUUAGUCCCCUUAAGCAUGCCAGUUCUGUUCCCAUCAUACGCAGGGCUUGUGGAAUGUGGGUAUGCAAUGUGAUAUUUGGGGAGCACAAGGAGAUGUGCGUUAGCCUUUGUGCUAAGAUAGAGGGGCUAUCUCAAGCCAUCCAGAGGAUUUUUCAGGACUAACGGGUAGUUCUACAUUAACCUGACCUGGACGAGUAGGAAAGCUCCUCCUGACCCCCUAGGAAGGUUCUUGGCUAUGGAAGCUGCUUUUGGAGACCACUGCCACCUACUGGCCACCUUGCAUACUUGCAGCCAAGUUAUUUUUCAGUUUUAAUUUGGACUUCCCUGGAGGCUCAGACGGCAAAGAAUCUGCCAGCAAUUCAGGAGACCCAGGUUUGAUCCCUGGGUCGGGAAGAUCCUCUGGAGAAGGGAAUGGCAAUCCAAUCCACUAUUCUUGCUUGGAGAAUCCCAUGGACAGAGGAGCCUGGAGAAUCCCAUGGACAGAGGAGCCUGGAGAAUCCCAUGGACAGAGGAGCCUGGAGGGCUACAGUUCAUGGGGUCACAAAGAGUCGGACAUGACUGAGCGACUCACACACACACACAUAUUGGCAGGCAAGUUCUUUACCACUAGCGCCACCUGGGAAGCUCCUACCAAUUGAAUCCAAAUGCUAAAGUUCUCCAGGUGAUGCAGAUGGAGUCAGAAUUGAGAAGAGCUGCACUAGAUCAAGUCAUCCUGACCCCUCAUCUUGCAUCUCAUCAUCCUGACCCCUCAUCUUGCAUCUCAUCUUAAAUUAUGCAACCAUGUUAUUCAAACAAAUGCGUGUCACUGAGUCGAUGUUGCUAUUACUCUACAAAGACCUUCCAAAGCUUUAACUUCCCUUGAUCUCACCCUGAAAUUAAAGUCGGAACAUAUACACUUUGUUCUCAGCCCUGGUUAGAAGGUUCUCAAACAGUCUAACUGAAAUUCAGAUCCUGCUUCACCAAGACCCACCAACUGGCUUCAAGUUCCACCCACUCCCUGGCGCUACACAGCCUGAGUGCCCAGCAGCCCUGCCCACCGAAUCUGUUCUGUUUGCCUGAACUCACCUGGCGCUGCCUGAUGCCCUCAGCCGUUAGUAGUGAUGGAUGGAAAGAGGACCAGGGUGCUUAAUCAAUGGAUGAUGACAAUUCUUCUGCUCUUGGUUCCUGGGGGAACCUCAAGGACAGCAAGAUUUCUUCAUUAGCUGGUGGCUGAAUGUUGGCCUGAAGAACUCCUCUUUUCAACCUCAGGCUGCGUGGCCACCUUGGUUCCUUUGCCUGGACUUUUCUUCCAGUUCCUUGAGUCCCCCAUCCUUUUGUUUUUUGCCACGGCUUUCAUUGUGGUAUAACUUACAUACCAUUAGAUGUACUCAUUUCCAAGUGUUCGAUUCAAAGAUUUUUAGUAAACGUUGUGCAACUAUCACAAU
ensembl:lncRNA